AUUGAACGCUGGCGGCGUGCUUAACACAUGCAAGUCGAAGGUAGUGGCGAACGGGUGAGUAACACGUGAGUAACCUGCCCAUUUCUUUGGGAUAAGCCUGGGAAACGGGGUCUAAUACUGGAUGGACUGGGAUGGGCUGGCGGCUUAUGAGCUUGUUGGUGGGGUGCUGGCUUACCCAGGCUUUGACGGGUGGCCGGCCUGAGAGGGUUGUCGGUCACAGUGUGACGGAGAGACGGCCUAGACUCCGACGGGAGGCAGCAGUGGGGGAUAUUGCACAAUGGACGAAAGCCUGAUGCAGCGUGGCCGCGUGGGGGAUGAAGGCUUUCGGGUUGUAAACCUCUGUCGCUAUCGAACCGGUAGGUGGAGAAGAAGCGCCGGCUAACUACGUGCCAGCAGCCGCGGUAAUAC
rnacentral:rRNA from 1 species